rnacentral:rRNA from 1 species
UACGAACUGUGCAAACGUUAUUCGGAAUCACUGGGCUUAAAGGGUGCGUAGGCGGCUCGUUAGGUAGGGUGUGAAAGCCCCCGGCUCAACCGGGGAAUUGCGCCCUAAACCGGCGGGCUGGAGUGAGAUAGGGGGUGUGUGGAACUUCCAGUGGAGCGGUGAAAUGUGUUGAUAUUGGAAGGAACGCCGGUGGCGAAAGCGACACACUGGGUCUCAACUGACGCUGGAGGCACGAAAGCCAGGGGAGCAAACGGG